AUUGAACGCUGGCGGCAUGCCUUACACAUGCAAGUCGAACGGCAGCACGGGAGCAAUCCUGGUGGCGAGUGCGACGGUGAGUAAUAUAUCGGAACGUGCCCAGUCGUGGGGAGUAACGUAGCGAAAGUUACGCUAAUACCGCAUACGAUCUAAGGAUGAAAGCGGGGGAGUCGCAAGACCUCGCGCGAUUGGAGCGGCCGAUAUCAGAUUAGGUAGUUGGUGGGGUAAAGGCUCACCAAGCCAACGAUCUGUAGCUGGUCUGAGAGGACGACCAGCCACACUGGAACUGAGACACGGUCCAGACUCCUACGGGAGGGCAGCAGUGGGGGAAUUUUUGG
rnacentral:rRNA from 1 species